UACGGAGGGGGCUAGCGUUGUUCGGAAUUACUGGGCGUAAAGGGCGCGUAGGCGGGCUCGCAAGUCAGGGGUGAAAGCCCACGGCUCAACCGUGGAAGUGCCUUUGAUACUGCGGGCCUUGAGGGAGGUAGGGGCGUGCGGAACUUCCGGUGGAGCGGUGAAAUGCGUAGAUAUCGGAAGGAACACCGGUGGCGAAAGCGGCGCGCUGGACCUCUUCUGACGCUGAGGCGCGAAAGCCAGGGGAGCAAACGGG
rnacentral:rRNA from 1 species